GACGAACGCUGGCGGCGUGCCUAAUACAUGCAAGUCGAACGCAGUGGGGACGGGUGAGUAACACGUGGGUAACCUCCCAUCAGAGGGGAUAACACUUGGAAACAGGUGCUAAACCGAUACUGAUGUAUGGACCCUGUGUGCAUUAGCUAGUUGGUGAGGUAAAGGCUAACCAAGGCCACGAUGCAUAGGCGAGCUGAGAGGUGUAUAGGCCACACUGGGACUGGGAAACGGCCAAGACUCGUACGGUAGGCAGCAGUAGGGAAGCUUCGGCAAUGGACUAAAGUCUGACCGAGCAAAGCAGCGUGAGUGAAGAAGGUUUUCGGAUCGUAAAGCUAAGUUGUUAGAGAAGAGGGAACUAAAGAGAAAGCCACGGCUAACUACGUGCCAGCAGCCGCGGUAAUAG
rnacentral:rRNA from 1 species